rnacentral:rRNA from 1 species
UACAGAGGUGGCAAGCGUUGUUCGGAAUUACUGGGCGUAAAGGGCGCGUAGGCGGUCCGAUAAGUCCCGUGUGAAAGCCCCCGGCUCAACUGGGGAACUGCACGGGAAACUGACGGACUUGAGUUCGGGAGAGGGAAGCGGAAUUCCGGGUGUAGCGGUGAAAUGCGUAGAUAUCGAGAGGAACACCUGCGGCGAAGGCGGGUUGCUGGGCUGACACUGACGCUGAAGUGCGAAAGCUAGGGGAGCGAACGGG